rnacentral:rRNA from 1 species
AGUGAACGCUGGCGGUAGGCCUAACACAUGCAAGUCGAACGGCAGCACAGUAAGAGCUUGCUCUUACGGGUGGCGAGUGGCGGACGGGUGAGGAAUACAUCGGAAUCUACUUUUUCGUGGGGGAUAACGUAGGGAAACUUACGCUCAUACCGCAUACGACCUACGGGUGAAAGCAGGGGAUCUUCGGACCUUGCGCGAUUGAAUGAGCCGAUGUCGGAUUAGCUAGUUGGCGGGGUAAAGGCCCACCAAGGCGACGAUCCGUAGCUGGUCUGAGAGGAGGAUCAGCCACACUGGAAAUGAGACACGGUCCAGAGUCCUCCGGGAGGCAGCAGUGGGGAAUAUUGGACAAUGGGCGCAAGCCUGAUCCAGCCAUACCGCGUGAGUGAAGAAGGCCUUCGGGUUGUAAAGCCCUUUUGUUGGGAAAGAAAAGCAGCAGGUUAAUACCCCGCUGUUCUGACGGUACCCAAAGAAUAAGCACCGGCUAACUUCGUG